rnacentral:rRNA from 1 species
CUACGGGUUGCAGCAGUGGGGAAUAUUGCACAAUGGGGGAAACCCUGAUGCAGCGACGCCGCGUGAGUGAAGAAGUAUUUCGGUAUGUAAAGCUCUAUCAGCAGGGAAGAUAAUGACAGUACCUGACUAAGAAGCCCCGGCUAACUACGUGCCAGCAGCCGCGGUAAUACGUAGGGGGCAAGCGUUAUCCGGAUUUACUGGGUGUAAAGGGAGCGUAGGUGGUUCGGCAAGUCAGAUGUGAAAGCCCGGGGCUCAACCCCGGGACUGCAUUUGAAACUGUCGGACUAGAGUGCAGGAGAGGUAAGUGGAAUUCCUAGUGUAGCGGUGAAAUGCGUAGAUAUUAGGAGGAACACCAGUGGCGAAGGCGGCUUACUGGACUGUAACUGACACUGAGGCUCGAAAGCGUGGGGAGCAAACAGGAUUAGAUACCCCAGUAGUC